rnacentral:rRNA from 1 species
AUUGAACGCUGGCGGCAUGCUUUACACAUGCAAGUCGAACGAGUGGCGAACGGGUGAGUAAUAUAUCGGAACGUACCGAGUACUGGGGGAUAACAAAUCGAAAGAUUGGCUAAUACCGCAUAUUAUUUGAGCGGCCGAUAACUGAUUAGCGAGUUGGAGGGGUAAAGGCCUACCACGGCGACGAUCAGUAGCGGGUAUGAGAGGACGAUCGGCAACACUGGGACUAGGACAGGGCCCAGACUCCUACGGGAGGCAGCAGAGGGGAAUUUUGGACAAUGGGGGCAACCCUGAUCCAGCCAUGCCGCGUGUAUGAAGAGGGCCUUCGGGUUGUAAAGUACGUUUGUUAGGGAAGCGGUACCUAAAGAAUAAGCACCGGCUAACUACGUGCCAGCAGCCGCGGUAAUAC